UGGCGGACGGGUGAGUAAUGUCGGGGAAACUGCCCGAUGGAGGGGGAUAACUACUGGAACGUAGCUAAUACCGCAUAACGUCGCAAGACCAAAGAGGGGGACCUUCGGGCCUCUUGCCAUCGGAUGUGCCCAGAUGGGAUUAGCUAGUAGGUGGGGUAACGGCUCACCUAGGCGACGAUCCCUAGCUGGUCUGAGAGGAUGACCAGCCACACUGGAACUGAGACACGGUCCAG
rnacentral:rRNA from 1 species